rnacentral:rRNA from 1 species
AGUGAACGCUGGCGGCAGGCCUAACACAUGCAAGUCGAGCGGCAGCGCGUCCGACCACCCUCGGGUGGUCGGAUGGCGGCGAGCGGCGGACGGGUGAGGAAUGCAUCGGAAUCUGCCUCGUUGUGGGGGAUAACGUAGGGAAACUUACGCUAAUACCGCAUACGACCUACGGGUGAAAGUGGGGGACCUUCGGGCCGUCACGCGAUGAGAUGAGCCGAUGCCGGAUUAGCUAGUUGGCGGGGUAAAGGCCCACCAAGGCGACGAUCCGUAGCUGGUCUGAGAGGAUGAUCAGCCACACUGGAACUGAGACACGGUCCAGACUCCUACGGGAGGCAGCAGUGGGGAAUAUUGGACAAUGGGGGCGACCCUGAUCCAGCCAUGCCGCGUGUGUGAAGAAGGCCUGUGUAAGUACACUUGUUGGUAGGAACGGACCGGU